UUAGAGUCCUAAUCGGAUUAUAUUAAUCCAUUUUGACUCAAAUGGGGUUCUCAGCAAUAUCCAAUCAAAGCUGACACCCACCGCCUCUAUAGAUCUAUAAAUACCAACGACCCAUCCAAAACGAAUUCAAAUGCAUUGUGUAAUUUUCGUUGGUAGUGAGAUUUGAUUUUCUCUGUUGGCUUUUGCUUUGAAGAGAUGGUGACUUUUAGACACCACACCUCCCCUUCUACUAGAUCCAAGUAUCUUGUAGUUGAAACUAAAGGUGGGGCCCAACAGACUCGACUUUGACUCACACUUCAUUGAUUGGUCGGUAUGCAAGUUUGUGGUCUUCUUUUAAGAACCAUUUUCCAUAACAAAUUGGAUUUCGGUACAAAUCCCUAAUUUCGAGAAUUCAUUCAAGUUGUUCUCUCUUCAAGCAUCGGAUCAUCAUGAUGCAGAUAUCGCAACUCCACUCCUAAGCUUGGAUCGUCGUAUAACUUUAGGAGAGAUACAUUAGGGAGACACGAUGACACUUGAGGGGGAAUAUUGUCAUAUUCCUAGGUAUUGAGAGUAGACAGAAGAUAUACUCGGUAGGAGCUAAGAAAUCUUGAGUAAGAUACAGAUUUAUGUUGUCGUUAAUGCAUCACUUUUUACUUAUGAUCGUAACUCAUACAUAUUUCAAGUAUUUUGUGAAGCUUGGUGCCCCAAGACAAAUACACUUCUCGCAUCUGUCGAGGAACUAUCUAUUUCUGUAUGAGAUUUGCAUGUUCCUGGAGGCUUGACAAUUCAGGCUAUUCUUUAUGAAGAACUAGUCCACGAGGCUAAAAAACUUACAGGAUUAGAUACAAAAAAGGUAAGGUAUGUUUCUUGAACUUGUGGGUACUUAUUUGCGACCUUUCAUAACCUGCGAGAUGUUAGCGAAGAAGUAUCAUUUAGCGAUUGGAUAACAUUCUGGUGUAAGAAAUCUUCAAAGUACGACCCUACUCCACCAAGGCAGGAAAAGAAAUCUGCUCGCCCUGAAUUGACACACAACCCUAGUGGGGUUUUGCCUGAUACACUAAGAUGGUCACAUGCUGCAGAAAAGGUAUUUUCUGAGCUUGGGGUGAAUCGUGACAAAAAAGAUGACAUAUAUUUGCCAGCUUUCUUAUCUUUUUGGUUGUGUGCUUCUGUUUUUCCUAGUAUGAAAGAUGAUUUUAUUUUUCCUGGGACUUUCAAGAUGGCAUGCAUGAUGGCGAGUGGGCGGAUGGUCGGCUUUGUAAUACUGAUACUAGCCAGCAUUUAUAGUGGACUAAACAAUAUAUCUUCUUCAGCGCAACUCGAUCAAUUAAGGUUUGUUUUCCUAUUCACUAUGUGUAUGGUUGGAUUGCUCAUUAUUUUAGGUUCCAUUAUCCAUUUGCCAGUGAGCCGUCCAUUCCCACUAUGAUUGUAUACUCCGGAGAGGGCGGUGUAAAGUAUUUUGAAAAAAAAUGAUGCAAGAAAGUGUAUCCAUAGUGGGGAGAAUGCGGUUUGGACUUCUACCAUGCAGGACAAAAUGCACCCUUACUUUUAUGUGGAUACUGAGAAUGCCCCAACAUUGGAGAUGAGCUACUUUAUGAGUAUUCAUUUCAGCUAUCUCACACUUAGGUGCAGGAAUUCGUUCAUCAUUGAGCCAUAUAGUACACAUCACUUCAGCCAACAGUUUGGAUUUUAUCAGAAUAUUUCGGGCAUCAUGAAGCAUGUUAUUCGCAAUGCCUUUUUAGAAAAAGGACUAAUAUUUUGGAGGAUUUUCACAUUGAGCCGAUCAUCCCCACGAGCAACUUUUCCUUCAAUUUUGCCUAAUGUAGGCAAUUUCUUUGGAACCGACUAUCAGACUUGGUGGAAAAAGACUUAUGGGGAUUUAAUUAAUCAUCACCUACAGACUUUGGUGAACAUUGUUGGGUCGACUACCGCCAGACAUUUGGGGACUUCUGAUGAAGUACCCAUAAAUGAGGCCCUUAUUACUGAUGUUCCUCCUUCUUCAGAUGCCAGGCUUCUGAAUCAACAUAAAAAUGAGAGAUCUCACACACCUACAGUGGUAUACAAGGGCAAGACUCCUACUCAAACUACUUAUGUCUCUAAAAGGUUGUCCCAAGAUGAAAGUGAGAAUAGUAGUAAAGACCGUUGUUGGAAAGAGUAAAGGUACGUUUUGACGAUGCGAGAGGUACUAGUCCACCGGUGAUAGAAAUUCAUGAUAACACGAAUAAUCCUUUGAGGAGUAUAUCAGCUCUUAUCGAGGAGGUAUGGUUAAGACAUCUAUUUUAUCGAGUGUAUCUUAAUGACCUCUUUUUUUAUUAAUCCCUUUUUUUGUUCUUAUGCAGUCGACUAAUGUAUAGCCCCGCAGUGUAAAUAGUCACAUGAUAGUGAUGAGUUUGUAUCUGGCUCAGAUCUGAUGGAACCACCUUCUAUAGCUAAAAUGAGAGAAGGGACAACUUCUGUUUCUUGUAACAAGGUUAAAUCAACCUUGGAUUCUGACAUAUGUAAGCCUAUAGAGCUGUUAUGUCGGUGUUUGAUGGAAAGAAAGUUGUCCUAGAUGCUCAGAAAGACUUUAUCUUCUGUCUUUAGACCAUACUUUAAGGCAAGCUUUCUAAGUGCGAUGUUGAUUGUGCUUCUUCUCUUGAAGAUGAAAUCCAAGUAAUCAUCAAGGAGAUGGAUUGUAAGGAUGUGGCUAUUUCUUCAUUGACAAAGUUGCUGCAUGACUUUUUUGACCUUGCUACUUCAGAUGACUAAGCACGAUCGAUGCUUCAUGAUAUGAUUUAGGAAGUCAUAAGAUUAGAAUUAUUCUUUGUAGUAGGGGAACGUCUCUCAAACGCCAUGCUUGAAGAGGACGAGAAGGUUAGAGCUAUAUCCUCUAUUCAACAAUUACUACAGAAUAUGAAGAAGCAGAUAAAAGAAUUGUGUAGAAAGGCGCAGGUUUUGCAAAGUCUUUUAGUGGUCGCUAAAAAUGAAGCCAAAGAAGCAAGUCUAGAGGCUUCUGUUGUAGCCAAGGAAUUUGAUGCGAGCUUUGACGCAGAUUUAUCAAAUGGUGUAGAUCAAAAGAAAGAGCAUCUGGAAGCUAUGCGCCAAGACUUAAUCAAUUACAAGUUAUGUCUAGAUUAAACUUAGGAGAUGUUUUCUUUUCUUCAAACUUUCUUGUCACUUUAUUUUAGCCUUUUAUUGAGUAGUUGGAUCUAUUAUAUUUCUUUUGAAUUUUAACUUCAA